rnacentral:rRNA from 1 species
UAGUCCACGCCGUAAACGAUGGAUACUAGGUGUCCGGGAUAUUAACCUCCUGGGUACUACAGUUAACGCGUUAAGUAUCCCGCCUGGGGAGUACGGUCGCAAGGCUAAAACUCAAAGGAAUUGACGGGGGCCCGCACAAGCGGUGGAGUAUGUGGUUUAAUUCGAAGCAACGCGCAGAACCUUACCUACCCUUAACAUUUCACGACGUAUACAGAGAUGUAAUAGUGCUAGCUUGCUAGAACUUUCAUACAGGUGCUGCACGGCUGUCGUCAGCUCGUGUCGUGAGAUGUUGGGUUAAGUCCCGCAACGAGCGCAACCCUUGUCUUUAGUUGCCAUCAUUAAGUUGGGCACUUUAAAGAGACUGCCGGUGACAAACCGGAGGAAGGUAAGGAUGACGUCAAGUCAGCAUGCCCCUUAUGCUCUGGGCUACACACGUGCUACAAUGGCCGUGACAAAGAGUUGCUACUUUGUGAAAACAAGCUAAAUCUCAUAAACGCGGCCUCAGUUCGGAUUGCAGG